UUUUCUAUAAUCAGCACUGCUUCCUUUGUGAUACCUGUGCCUACUGAUUUCCUGACUCUGUCUGCCCUCUGGCCUGUUUUGGACUCUGGCCUCCUGGCAGCCUUGCUCCUGCUCUGACCAAUAGCUCAGACUGCCCAUGCCCCAGUUGUGACACUUCCCUGGGACAGUAAUGGGUAGAGUGCUCUGCUGCCUGUCACUGAACUUAGUGCAUGAAAGUUCAGUCUUUGAAAAGCCACAUAAGGAACAACUCUUACUAAUCUCAGAGGAGUCCCUCACACCCUGCAGGGCUAGAAUGGUGCCUUUUGAUUCUGGAGGCUUCUUUUCUGUCUUGCUGGAAGCACAGCUGACCCUGCCGAUCAUGACCCCCAAGACGAAAGCAGAUUCCAGUUGAUUGGGACUUUCUCGGCAUCACAACUGCCCUGGCAGUUAGAUAUCCUCUGACCCUCCCUGCCAAGGAAGUGACUGUCCUUAAGCUCUUGUUAGCAAGGAUGAAACAGAAAAGAGGAUUUGCACAGUGCAAUUAAAGAGAGAAGACUGCUAAAGCCACCGCCACUUCCACCCAGUUCUAGUAGUAUUGAUGCUAAAAACACUGAGUGGGGUGAAUUAUAUCCUGACCUGUUUUGAACAAUCCAUAUUGAUUCUUAUCUGUGCGUAUGUGCACAAGGUACAGAGAGAACGGGUAUUACCUUUGGCCAGUGGCAGCUUCACCAUUGGCCACUGGCACCACUUGGUAACCUUCCUGCAGCACCACAAGAUCCACUAACAAGCUGCUUUUGCCCAACAUCACUGGCACAGCCUACUGAACCAAGGUCUCUAGUUACUUUUGGAGGAGACAAAAUGACCUGACAUGUCCCACACUUUCAGCUUCCUCCACUGGCCCUGAGCUUGUUACCUCUGGGCCCCAACUAUGCCUCAGUUCUCAAGUUGCUUUCUAUUCUUCAGUGCCCCUCUCGUGUUUGUUAGCCUACUCAGCUUAGCACGGCCUCUUAGCUUCUCCAGAGCCGUCUUUCUCUCCUAGCCAC